AGUGAACGCUGGCGGUAGGCCUAACACAUGCAAGUCGAACGGCAGCACAGUAAGAGCUUGCUCUUACGGGUGGCGAGUGGCGGACGGGUGAGGAAUACAUCGGAAUCUACUUUUUCGUGGGGGAUAACGUAGGGAAACUUACGCUAAUACCGCAUACGACCUACGGGUGAAAGCAGGGGAUCUUCGGACCUUGCGCGAUUGAAUGAGCCGAUGUCGGAUUAGCUAGUUGGCGGGGUAAAGGCCCACCAAGGCGACGAUCCGUAGCUGGUCUGAGAGGAUGAUCAGCCACACUGGAACUGAGACACGGUCCAGACUCCUACGGGAGGCAGCAGUGGGGAAUAUUGGACAAUGGGCGCAAGCCUGAUCCAGCCACACCGCGUGGGUGAAGAAGGCCUUCGGGUUGUAAAGCCCUUUUGUUGGGAAAGAAAAGCAGCAGGUUAAUACCCCGCUGUUCGGACGGUACCCAAAGAAUAAGCACCGGCUAACUUCGG
rnacentral:rRNA from 1 species